AACACAUGCAAGUCGAACGAUGAAGGAGCUUGCUCCUGGAUUAGUGGCGAACGGGUGAGUAACACGUGAGUAACCUGCCCUUGACUCUGGGAUAAGCGUUGGAAACGACGUCUAAUACCGGAUAUGACCUGUGACGGCAUCGUCUGCAGGUGGAAAGAAUUUUGGUCAAGGAUGGACUCGCGGCCUAUCAGGUAGUUGGUGAGGUAACGGCUCACCAAGCCGACGACGGGUAGCCGGCCUGAGAGGGUGACCGGCCACACUGGGACUGAGACACGGCCCAGACCCCUACGGGAGGCAGCAGUGGGGAAUAUUGCACAAUGGGCGAAAGCCUGAUGCAGCAACGCCGCGUGAGGGACGACGGCCUUCGGGUUGUAAACCUCUUUUAGUUGGGAAGAAGGGAGCUUGCUCUUGACGGUACCAGCAGAAAAAG
rnacentral:rRNA from 1 species